rnacentral:rRNA from 1 species
UACGGAGGGGGCAAGCGUUAUUCGGAAUUAUUGGGCGUAAAGGGCGCGUAGGCGGCUCGAUAAGUCAAAGGUGAAAUCCCUCGGCUCAACUGAGGAACUGCCUUUGAAACUGUAGAGCUUGAGUCCGGGAGGGGGUAGCGGAAUUCCCAGUGUAGCGGUGAAAUGCGUAGAUAUUGGGAGGAACACCGGUGGCGAAGGCGGCUACCUGGACCGGUACUGACGCUGAGGCGCGAAAGCUAGGGUAGCAAACAGG